rnacentral:rRNA from 1 species
GAUAAACGCUGACAGAAUGCUUAACACAUGCAAGUCGAUGCUGGGAGCUAGCUUGCUAGAAGAAGUCAUGGCGGACGGGUGAGUAACGUGUAAAGAACUUACCAUAUAGACUGGGAUAACAGAGGGAAACUUCUGAUAAUACUGGAUAAGUUAGUAGUAGCAUUACUAAGUAAUGAAAGGUAGCAAUACGCUAUAUGAGAGCUUUGCAUCCUAUUAGCUAGUUGGUGGGGUAAAAGCCUACCAAGGCGAUGAUAGGUAGCCGGCCUGAGAGGGUGGACAGCCACAAGGGGACUGAGAUACGGCCCUUACUCCUACGGGAGGCAGCAGUGGGGAAUAUUGGACAAUGGAGGCAACUCUGAUCCAGCAAUUCUGUGUGUGUGAAGAAGGUUUUAGGACUGUAAAACACUUUUAGUAGGGAAGAAAGAAAUGACGGUACCUACAGAAGAAGCGACGGCUAAAUACGUG